UCAAUCAUCCAAUAUCAAAAUAUAAAAUACGUAUUUAUACGUGUCACUCUUUUAUUAAUUGUGAUGUAUAUACCAAGUUUAGAUAAGAAUUUCUCGAAAAAUUCUAAUGAGAUAGAGUAUGAAAAAGGUACCAUAUGUAAACAAGAUCUUACAAAAAAAAAAUUUAUGCAUAUUCUUUAUAAUUAAUAUGUGGAAACAAGUGAUUAUAAAUUAUUAUUAAUUGUUGAUGCUCAUAUCACGAAGAUGUGUACAAUCAAAACUACAUAGAACGACAAACAAAUUUCUUAUCCUGAAUGUUUUUAUUAUGUUGGGCUUAAGAAAACCGCAUGAAAAAUGGCAGCCCUAUGGCAUGGGAUAAUCAAGAGGUUGAAAAGAAGUAGUGCAGCACUUGCAACAAGAGCCUGGUGGUGGAGACGAGCAACAUGCGCACUGAGGACACAUCGGGUCCUCCUUUAGACUCACCUCAAUUAUACCUGCAAUAGAUAAAUUAUCCAACAGUAAGAGACAAGAUCAAGACUUUAAAUUUAAGCUGUAUACAAGAAAGAUGUGUGUACCUUGGCGGGUGAACCGAGCUGCAUUGGCCGGCGGUACUACUAAGGGUAAUACCAUAACAACGAUGAAGAUAAAUGCCAUGACAGACCUUUGAUAGUUAGCUGCCAUUGACAUUAAUUAACACUGAGUAGAAAUGAUUGAUGAGAG
rnacentral:lncRNA from 1 species